rnacentral:tRNA from 1 species
GCCUGUCUGGCUCAACUGGAAGAGCACGCGACUCUCGUUCUCAGAGUUGUGAGUUCAAGCCCCACGAUGGGUG